rnacentral:rRNA from 1 species
CCCUUAGAGUUUGAUCCUGGCUCAGAAUCAACGCUGGCGGCGUGCCUAACACAUGCAAGUCGAACGCGAAAGCCCCGCAAGGGGCAAGUAGAGUGGCAAACGGGUGAGUAACACGUGGGUGACCUGCCUUCGAGCGGGGGAUAACGUCCCGAAAGGGACGCUAAUACCGCAUAACAUCCUGCCUUUGAAGAGGUGGAGAUCAAAGCCGGGGAUCGCAAGACCCGGCACUUGAAGAGGGGCCCGCGCCUGAUUAGCUAGUUGGUGGGGUAAUGGCCUACCAAGGCAACGAUCAGUAUCCGGCCUGAGAGGGCGGACGGACACACUGGGACUGAGACACGGCCCAGACUCCUACGGGAGGCGGCAGUGGGGAAUUGUUCGCAAUGGGCGCAAGCCUGACGACGCAACGCCGCGUGGAGGAUGAAGAUCUUCGGGUCGUAAACUCCUGUCGAAUGGGACGAACAGAUUGCGGGUUAACAGCCCGUGGUCCUGACGGUACCGUUAAAGGAAACCCCGGCUAACUCCGUGCCAGCAGCCGCGGUAAUACGGGGGGGGUAAGCGUUGUUCGGAAUUACUGGGCGUAAAGGGCUCGUAGGCGGCCAACUAAGUCGGACGUGAAAUCCCUCAGCUUAACUGGGGAACUGCGUCCGAUACUGGAUGGCUUGGAUUUGGGAGAGGGAUGCGGAAUUCCAGGUGUAGCGGUGAAAUGCGUAGAUAUCUGGAGGAACACGGGUGGCGAGGCGGCAUCCUGGACAAUAUUGACGCUGAGAGCGAAAGCAGGGAGCAACGGGAUAGAUACCCCGGUAGUCUGG